rnacentral:rRNA from 1 species
UACGUAGGGUGCAAGCGUUGUCCGGAAUUAUUGGGCGUAAAGAGCUCGUAGGCGGUUAGUCGCGUCUGCUGUGAAAACUCGGGGCUUAACUCCGGGCCUGCAGUGGGUACGGGCUGACUAGAGUGCGGUAGGGGAGACUGGAAUUCCUGGUGUAGCGGUGAAAUGCGCAGAUAUCAGGAGGAACACCGGUGGCGAAGGCGGGUCUCUGGGCCGAUACUGACGCUGAGGAGCGAAAGCGUGGGGAGCGAACAGG